UACAUAGUGGUUUGCUUUGAUUUCCUUCUCUUUAUAUUUUGUAAAUCUACUGUAGAUUUUCAUUAUGUGUCUAUCCUGAAGCUUAUACAAAAUAUAUUAUUAUUAUUAUUAUAGUCUAUUUUAAACUGAUAAUAAACUUAACUUUGAUCACAUACAAAGACUAUCCUUUUACUCUCAACAUUUUAGUUUUAUGUUAUAAUUUGUAUUUUUUACAUAUGUACCCAUUAAAAAUUAUUGUAGCUAUAUUUAUUUUUAUGCUUUUGUUUUUUAACCUUUCUACUAAAGCAAUUAACAUACCACCAUAUUAAAGUCUAGAUUUUUUUUUAAAGACUUUAUUUAUUUAUUCAUGAGAGACACAGAGAGAGAGGCAGAAACAUAGGCAGAGGGAGAAGCAUGCUUCCUGCAAGGAGCCUGAUGCAGGACUUGAUCCCAGUACCUAGGAUCACAACCUGUGCCAAAGGCAGAUGCUCAACCACUGAGCUACUCAGGUGCCCCAGGUUUGUUUGUUUGUUUGUUUUUUAUUACAUAUUUGCCAAUAUGGUUUAUAUUAUAAUGUUAGUAAUUAGCAUAUUUUAAUUUCAGCUUUUGAUGUAAGGCGGGUCUAAUGAUGAUAACCUCACUAAGCUUUUGUAUGUCUGGGAAAGGCAGUAUCUCUCCUUCAUUACUGAAAGACAGUUUUACCAGACAAAGUAUUUUUAGUUGGUAUUUUUUUUUUCUUUCAGCACUCUGAAUAUAUCAUCCUACUCUCUACUGUUCUGCCAGGUAUCCACUGAUAGACUUAAGAGGGUUCCCUUGUAUGUGAAGAAGUAUAUUUAAAAUAUAUAUAUAUGGCUGCUUUUAAUAUUCUCUCUUUAUCUUUGAUUUUAGAUUGUUCUAUUAUAAUAUAUUUUGGAUAAGAUCUUUUUGGGUUGAAUCUUUUAAGGGAUCUAUUAACGUUAUGAACUUGGAUACCUAUAUCUUUCCCCAAAUUUGUGGUAUUCUCAGCCAUUAUUUCUUUAAAUAAGCUUUCUACCACUUUCUCCCUCUCUUCUCUUUAUAAGACUCCACUAAUAUGUAGAUUUUUUCAUUCUAUGUUAUCCUAUAAUUCCUAUCGGUUUUCUUCACUUUCUUUCCUGUUCUCUGACUGAAUUAUUUCAAAGAAUCUAUCUUUGACUACACAGAUUGUUUUCUUCUGCAAAAUUGUUUUCUUAUGCUAUUAAUGUUAUCUAGUCCAUUUUUUAUUUCAUUUGUGGUAUUCUUUUGUUCUAGAAUUUUCUUUGGUUCCCAAUUAUGAUGUCUAUCUCUCUGUUAAACUUCUUGUUUUGUUCAUGUAUUAGUUUCUUGAUUUCAUUAAUCUCUUUGUUUGCUUCUGUAUAGCUAACUAAGCUUCUUUAAAACAACUACUUAGAAUUCCUCAUCAGACAAAUCAAAGGUUUUCAUUCCUUUGGGGUUAUUACUGGGAA
rnacentral:lncRNA from 1 species